rnacentral:rRNA from 1 species
GAUCUCGAAAAUAAAAGAUUUAAAUAAUUUUUUUAGUUUUUGUUUCAGUAAAAUUAAUAAAAAUUAUUUGGGAGUGAAAUACUAAUCGAUUUUAUUUAUAUCUAGUAACUUUGAAAAUAAAUUUAGUUUAGAAUAUAAAAGGGUUAUCUUAACUUUUAUAUAUUUUUAUACUUUAGGGGAUGAGCUCUAAAGUAAAUCUAUAAGAAUAAAGUAAUAAAAUUUUUUAUUAAGCUUAGAAUUAGCAAUAAGAUAGUGUUAUAAAACAGAAAUAUAAGUUUAAGAUUUAAUUUUUCUUUUUUAAAGAUAAAGUUAUAUUAAAAAAUAAAAAUUUUUAAGAAAAAAUGAUAGUAUUAGUAGAAAUAAUUUAAAAUUUUCUUUAGCAAAUUUUAAAAUAAAUUAUAAUAAAAGAAUUCGGCAAAUUAAAUUUCCGAAUGUUUAACAAAAACAUUUCCUCUUAAGAUAAGAGGUAAGACCUGCUCACUGAAUAUUAAAGAGCCGCAGUAUUUUGACUGUGCUAAGGUAGCAUAAUCAUUAGUCUUUUAAUUGAGGACUGGUAUGAAUGGUUUAACGAGAAAUUGACUUUUUUUAUUAUAUGAAUUGAAUUUAACUUUUUAGUGAAAAGGCUAAAUUGUUUUAGAAAGACGAGAAGACCCUAUAGAGUUUUAUAUACAAAAUUUAUAGAUUAUAAUAGAUUUAUAAAAGUUUAUUAGUGUAGUGUAUUUUGUUGGGGCGACAUUAAGAUAUAAAAAACUCUUUAUUUUUUAAACUUUGAUGAAAGAAUUAAUUUGAUCCUUUGAAAAAGAUCAUAAGAAAAAAUUACCUUAGGGAUAACAGCGUAAUCUUUUUUGAGAGUUCUAAUCGACAAAAAGGUUUGCGACCU